ACUGGAAUUGUUGUUUUUCACAGUCUUUGCAUUCCCAAAUGCUUCUAAAACUGGGUUGGACUCCAAAACUUGUUGCUCGACUGUUCUUCCUUCAGUGCCAGACCUUCCACCCAUAAAUGCGAGAUAUCUCAUUAACAUUUUCGUUGUCUCAGUUUUACCAGCACCACUCUCUCCACUGACCAAGAUAGACUGGUUGCCAUGCUCAUUUAUCAAUGCCCUAUAACAGGCAUCUGCCACUGCAAAAAGAUGUGGACUUAGCUCUCCAAAUGGGGCUCCCUUGUAUUGCUGCAUCAUAUGGGUAUCAUACAGAUGUGGAAGUCUCCGAAAUGGAUUAACCGCAAUCAGGAUAUUCCCUGUGUAAGUAUAUAUCUCAUUUAGA
rnacentral:misc_RNA from 1 species